CCCGCCGGAAACACCACGAACUCUGUCUGAUCUAGUGAAGUCUGAGUUGAUUGUAUCGCAAUCAGUUAAAACUUUCAACAAUGGAUCUCUUGGUUCCGGCAUCGAUGAAGAACGCAGCGAAAUGCGAUAACUAGUGUGAAUUGCAGAAUUCCGUGAAUCAUCGAGUCUUUGAACGCACAUUGCGCCCCCUGGUAUUCCGGGGGGCAUGCCUGUCCGAGCGUCAUUGCUGCCCAUCAAGCACGGCUUGUGUGUUGGGUCGUCGUCCCCUCUCCGGGGGGGACGGGCCCCAAAGGCAGCGGCGGCACCGCGUCCGAUCCUCGAGCGUAUGGGGCUUUGUCACCCGCUCUGUAGGCCCGGCCGGCGCUUGCCGAACGCAAAUCAAUCUUUUUCCAGGUUGACCUCGGAUCAGGUAGGGAUACCCGCUGAACUUAAGCAUAUCAAUAAGCGGAGGA
rnacentral:rRNA from 1 species